rnacentral:rRNA from 1 species
UAAUACCGGCACCUCAAGUGGUCGUCGCUUUUAUUGGGCCUAAAACGUCCGUCGCCUGUUUGGUACAUUCGUGGGUAAAUCAAGCCGCUCAACGGCUUGAAUUCUGCGAGGACGGCCAGACUAGGGACCGGGAGAGGUAUGGGGUACUCUCAGGGUAGGGGUAAAAUCCAGUCAUCCUGAGGGGACCACCUGUUGCGAAGGCGCCAUACUAGAACGGAUCCGACGGUCAGGGACGAAGCCUAGGGGCACGAACCGGAUUAGAUACCCGGGUAGUCCUAGGUGUAAACGCUGUGGACUUGGUGUUGGGGAUUCUACGAGUAUCUCCAGUGCCGGAGUGAAGAUGUUAAGUCCACUGCCUGGGGAGUACGGUCGCAAGGCUG